CCGCCAUGAAACAAAGAAGAAGUGCUUGCCUGACUUGCGUGACCACCACCAUGGAUUCGGCUGGGACAAAUACGAUUCCUGCUGCUCCAGUAGCUCUGAUCGACUUCUCCUCUGCUAAAGCCAAAAAAAAAAAAGCUUGACCGUUCUAUUGAUGGCAGGACAACUGAAAACCAGUUAUGGAUGCAAACAUGAAGCACAAGCCAGAGGAGUCUAUGAGAAGCUGAUGGGUCGGGAGCAUGCAGGCUUCUCCUGUAUGGACAGUGGUCUCUGGCUGAACCCCAAGUGGCCAUACAUGGGG